GACAAUAAUCUGUGUGGGUUUCAUUUUUUUUUUCUCUCUCUAUAGGCCGCAUUGGAAGUUUCUACUUGGAAAUUUAUGCAUUGUUUUCUUUCAGAGGAGUUUAUCAGUAGGCAGAAGCUAGAUGGUGUUCCAGGCCUUGGAAACAUGAUGGAGAGAGCAACAGAGGGGAGUUAUAUCUCGUUUGGAUGUUAUCCUUUGGUGUGUCCUGGAGAGAAGAAAAUCCAGAAAGGAAUACUUCCCAUUCAAGCCAGCAGGAGGACUGGGAAAGUGGUCCUUGACUGGGCAGCUGCUCUCCAGAGACAACUCAUAACUCUGUACUAUAGAAGGAGAACUCUGAAUUUGGGGCACCCUCUUUCACCACCGCUGGACCUCACAACUUACAGGCUGUUUUUCAAGCUGUGAUCUCCACCAUCUACUAGAGAAUAACAACAACAAUAAUAAUACAGAGGUUCUCGGAAAACAAAGAGGAGGCAGAAGUAGCAUCUCGCUCAGGAAGCUGCAGGUGGAGACAGCUGCUGCAGAAUUCUAUUACCUUCACGAGACCUGUUGCCCUUAAGGGGAGAUGAUGGCCAAUGUCAGCCUUAAAACCACGGCAAGGUCAGUUGCUAGUAAAAUGGCUGUGGAGGAAGAGGGUGGGGGGAAAGAGUGUCCUUGGCAAAAAGUGGUCUGACACCUUGAUGAAUAAGCAAAGGCUCUACGGACAGAGAUGCUCUUCUGCACGGAUCCUCUUUUAUCCCUGGAAACUGCUAGAAACCCAGUUGCAAAAAAAGUCUCCCUUCUAACAGAACCCAUCACUUUAGAUCAGUCUGCUAACUGGUAAUAUUCCAUCAUUAUAUAACAGCGGAGGGAUGAUUUGAAAACAAAAGACCUAGGUUCAAGUGACUGUGCCAUUUCUGGAUGUGUGAUCUUAGGCGAGACGUUUAAUGUCUAUGAGUUUGGCUUUCUUGUAGGUAAAAUAUAGAUACUAGCAAUAUGAGACUUAAUUGAGCUGUUGUAUGUGGAGGUGUAUUUGCCUCUAGGUGAUCAUGCAGUUUAGGACAUUCUGUUUUGGUAUGCGCCGAGGAGGAGAAGAGGGUGCAGAUAAUGCUGCUAAUGAAUAAAGCUGCCUCCAAGCCCC
rnacentral:lncRNA from 1 species